rnacentral:lncRNA from 1 species
UCUAGCUCCUCACGAGGAUAAGAUCAGAGUUCCUGGAAAGGAAGUACCAAAAAAAAAAAAGGACUGAACACUGUGUCUCGAUCUUACAGGUCGGGAAAGAUGGAAAUGCGACGAUGUUGAGAGAUGCACUACAGACCUCUGGGGUUCGCCUCGACUAUCUCAACACAGUCUCGGGGCCAACAGGUCAUGCCAUCGUCAUGCUCCAGCCGAAUGGACUAAACUCCAUCGUCAUUGUUGGAGGCGCGAACACUGCGUGGAAGAAGCGGACGGGAUCGUCGAGCAUUCCCGUCCAGGCCGAGGAAACCAUUCGAAAAGCCGGCGCUCUUCUCCUGCAGAGAGAAAUCCCAGACGAUGUCAACAUCGAAGCCGCAAAGGUACUCAAAGUUGAAUUUUUACCGAGUUUCUCUUCUUUGUUCUUCGUUGCGAAGCUCGCUCAUACUUCGGUUGCCUUUUUCGGAUUGCAAGAGAAGCGGACAUUCCCGUCAUCAUGGACGCAGGAGGCUUCGAUUCGCCCAUUCCGGAAGAACUUCUCAAGUAUAUCACGGUUUUGAGUCCAAACGAGACGGAGCUUGCUCGUCUCACGAGCAUGCCGACGGAGACAACGCAGGAAGUCGUCCGUGCUGCAAACAAAUGCCUCGACAUGGUAAUAAAAGAGAGAGCGAGAGAGAAAAAGGAAAAGAUCAAACUAAGAAACAAACCUUUGUGACAGGGAGUGAAACAAGUUCUGGUGAAGCGAGGAGUUCAAGGCUCUAUGCUUGCAAAAGCUGACGAGAGUCCCAUUCUCCAACCAGC